AGAGUUUGAUCCUGGCUCAGAUUGAACGCUGGCGGCAUGCCUUACACAUGCAAGUCGAACGGCAGCAUGAUCUAGCUUGCUAGAUUGAUGGCGAGUGGCGAACGGGUGAGUAAUACAUCGGAACGUGCCCUGUAGUGGGGGAUAACUAGUCGAAAGAUUAGCUAAUACCGCAUACGACCUGAGGGUGAAAGUGGGGGACCGCAAGGCCUCAUGCUAUAGGAGCGGCCGAUGUCUGAUUAGCUAGUUGGUGAGGUAAAGGCUCACCAAGGCGACGAUCAGUAGCUGGUCUGAGAGGACGAUCAGCCACACUGGGACUGAGACACGGCCCAGACUCCUACGGGAGGCAGCAGUGGGGAAUUUUGGACAAUGGGGGCAACCCUGAUCCAGCAAUGCCGCGUGUGUGAAGAAGGCCUUCGGGUUGUAAAGCACUUUUGUCCGGAAAGAAAUCGCACUUACUAAUAUUAGGUGUGGAUGACGGUACCGGAAGAAUAAGGACCGGCUAACUACGUGCCAGCAGCCGCGGUAAUACGUAGGGUCCAAGCGUUAAUCGGAAUUACUGGGCGUAAAGCGUGCGCAGGCGG
rnacentral:rRNA from 1 species